rnacentral:rRNA from 1 species
AUCACUGCAUGCUUAGUAGCGGCGAGUGAGCGGCAAAAGCUCAAAUUUGAAAUCUGGCGCCUUCGGUGUCCGAGUUGUAAUUUGAAGAUUGUAACCUUGGGGUUGGCUCUUGUCUAUGUUUCUUGGAACAGGACGUCACAGAGGGUGAGAAUCCCGUGCGAUGAGAUGCCCAAUUCUAUGUAAGGUGCUUUCGAAGAGUCGAGUUGUUUGGGAAUGCAGCUCUAAGUGGGUGGUAAAUUCCAUCUAAAGCUAAAUAUUGGCGAGAGACCGAUAGCGAACAAGUACAGUGAUGGAAAGAUGAAAAGAACUUUGAAAAGAGAGUGAAAAAGUACGUGAAAUUGUUGAAAGGGAAGGGUUUGAGAUCAGACUCGAUAUUUUGUGAGCCUUGCCUUCGUGGCGGGGUGACCCGCAGCUUAUCGGGCCAGCAUCGGUUUGGGCGGUAGGAUAAUGGCGUAGGAAUGUGACUUUACUUCGGUGAAGUGUUAUAGCCUGCGUUGAUGCUGCCUGCCUAGACCGAGGACUGCGAUUUUAUCAAGGAUGCUGGCAUAAUGAUCCCAAACCGCCCGUCUUG